rnacentral:lncRNA from 1 species
GGCGGGAUCGCCACAGGGACCCUCUUCGGAGGUCAGAGCUCGGCGGGGUGCGGCUAGUGGCGGAGCGCGCUGCGAGGGGAGGGCUUUCCACUGUCGCUGGCGUGAACUCGCGUGCCCGGCUUCACCAGGUACUGCCUUCUAACGAGCUGGCCAUUUCCACAUGUCAGAUAGGACCAACUUGCCUUUUAACUACCCGUGUGAUACUUAAACACUGUUGCCGGUAUCACAGCUUUUCUUCAAAACAGGUAAUAUUAG